rnacentral:rRNA from 1 species
CCCUUAGAUGUUCUGGGCCGCACGCGCGCUACGCUGAUGCAUUCAACGAGUCUAAAACCUGCUCUGAUAGGGGUGGGUAAUCUUUUGAAUGUGCAUCGUGAUUGGGAUAGAUGAUUGCAAUUUUUCAUCUUCAACGAGGAAUACCUAGUAAACGCAAGUCAUCAGCUUGCAUUGAUUACGUCCCUGCCCUUUGUACACACCGCCCGUCGCUCCUACCGAUUGAAUGAUCCGAUGAAUAUCAUGGAUUGAGGAUGCAAGUAGGUUCGCCUAUCUUCAUCUUCGAGAAGUGAAGUAAAUCUUAUCAUUUAGAGGAAGGAGAAGUCGUAACA